AUGAACGCUAGCUACAGGCUUAACACAUGCAAGUCGAGGGGCAGCAUGGUCUUAGCUUGCUAAGACUGAUGGCGACCGGCGCACGGGUGAGUAACACGUAUCCAACCUGCCGUCUACUCUUGGACAGCCUUCUGAAAGGAAGAUUAAUACAAGAUGGCAUCAUGAGUCCGCAUGUUCACAUGAUUAAAGGUAUUCCGGUAGACGAUGGGGAUGCGUUCCAUUAGAUAGUAGGCGGGGUAACGGCCCACCUAGUCUUCGAUGGAUAGGGGUUCUGAGAGGAAGGUCCCCCACAUUGGAACUGAGACACGGUCCAAACUCCUACGGGAGGCAGCAGUGAGGAAUAUUGGUCAAUGGGCGAGAGCCUGAACCAGCCAAGUAGCGUGAAGGAUGACUGCCCUAUGGGUUGUAAACUUCUUUUAUAAAGGAAUAAAGUCGGGUAUGCAUACCCGUUUGCAUGUACUUUAUGAAUAAGGAUCGGCUAACUCCGUGCCAGCAGCCGCGGUAAUACGGAGGAUCCGAGCGUUAUCCGGAUUUAUUGGGUUUAAAGGGAGCGUAGAUGGAUGUUUAAGUCAGUUGUGAAAGUUUGCGGCUCAACCGUAAAAUUGCAGUUGAUACUGGAUAUCUUGAGUGCAGUUGAGGCAGGCGGAAUUCGUGGUGUAGCGGUGAAAUGCUUAGAUAUCACGAAGAACUCCGAUUGCGAAGGCAGCCUGCUAAGCUGCAACUGACAUUGAGGCUCGAAAGUGUGGGUAUCAAACAGGAUUAGAUACCCUGGUAGUCCACACGGUAAACGAUGAAUACUCGCUGUUUGCGAUAUACGGCAAGCGGCCAAGCGAAAGCGUUAAGUAUUCCACCUGGGGAGUACGCCGGCAACGGUGAAACUCAAAGGAAUUGACGGGGGCCCGCACAAGCGGUGGAGCAUGUGGUUUAAUUCGAAGCAACGCGAAGAACCUUACCAGGUCUUGACAUCGAUCUAAAAGGGAUGGAGACAUCCUCAUAGCUAUAGAGAAGACAGGUGGUGCAUGGUUGUCGUCAGCUCGUGUCGUGAGAUGUUGGGUUAAGUCCCGCAACGAGCGCAACCCUUGUCUUUAGUUACUAGCAUUCAGUUGAGGACUCUAGAGAGACUGCCGGUGACAAACCGGAGGAAGGUGGGGAUGACGUCAAAUCAUCAUGCCCCUUAUGACCUGGGCUACACACGUACUACAAUGGCUGUAACAGAGAGAAGCAACACCGCGAGGUAGAGCGAAACUCCAAAAGCAGUCUCAGUUCGGAUUGAAGGCUGAAAUUCGCCUUCAUGAAGCCGGAAUUGCUAGUAAUGGCAGGUCAGCAUACUGCCGUGAAUACGUUCCCGGGCCUUGUACACACCGCCCGUCAAGCCAUGGGAGCCGGGGGUACCUGAAGUGCGUAACCGCGAGGAGCGCCCUAGGGUAAAACUGGUGACUGGGGCU
rnacentral:rRNA from 1 species